rnacentral:rRNA from 1 species
AGUUGUAUCCUGGCUCAGGAUGAACGCUGGCGGUAUGCCUAACACAUGCAAGUCGUACGGGAGUUUUUAACUCAAGUGGCGGACGGGUGAGUAACACGUGAGUAUUUACCUUUAGGAGGGGGACAACAGUUGGAAACGACUGCUAAUACCCCAUAUGCUUUAGAGUGAAAAAGAUUUAUCUGCCUAAAGAAAAGCUCGCGGCUGAUUAGCUAGUUGGUGAGGUAAUGGCUCACCAAGGCGACGAUCAGUAUCUGGUUUGAGAGGACGAUCAGACACACUGGAACUGAGACACGGUCCAGACUCCUACGGGAGGCAGCAGUGGGGAAUUUUCCGCAAUGGGCGAAAGCCUGACGGAGCAAUACCGCGUGAGGGAAGACUGCCUAUGGGUUGUAAACCUCUUUUUUCAGGGAGGAAUCAAUGACGUGUACCUGAAGAAUAAGCAUCGGCUAACUCCGUGCCAGCAGCCGCGGUAAGACGGAGGAUGCAAGUGUUAUCCGGAAUCACUGGGCGUAAAGCGUCUGUAGGUUGUUGUUUAAGUCAACUGUUAAAUCUUGAGGCUCAACCUCGAAAUCGCAGUCGAAACUAUUCAACUUGAGUAUAGUAGGGGUAAAGGGAAUUUCCAGUGGAGCGGUGAAAUGCGUAGAGA